UCUCAGUAUUUAUAACGCUUCAGAGUUGGUUCUAUAUAUUUACACAGUACUCAGAGAAGUGUCUCAGAAACCGGUGAACUAAUUAAAUUGUAAUGAAACUCCAUGAAGGUCGUAACUGUUCCUAUCCAAAUUCAUCAUGUAUUCUACCCCAGCACCCAGUACAGUGCCUGACACACAGUAGGUGCCCAAUAAAUAUUUGCUGAAGGAAUAAAUUCUAAUAGAAUUGA
rnacentral:lncRNA from 1 species